AGAGCGGUCCCACCCGCUGCGCCCAGAACGGAGCCCGCGUUUCCGCAGAGCUGGAGCUCCCGGCUCGGGGUCUCUUCCCUCCGCCUUCACGGAACUGCCCCGGAGCCCGCGGCGAGGGCGGCCUCACUGACGCUGCCGGCUCUGGAGGGGCCCCGGAGGCCGAAGCCGCGACAGUCGUGCGGACGGCGGGCCGGUUGUUUCAACAAGUAACUUAAAGACCAAAUGGAAAAAAAGGAGGUUUGUGCCUGAGAUCAUGUUGAUGUGAAACCAGGGAUGGCCACCUUGUCCCAGGUACAAAACAAAGAAUCGCUUUGCACAAAGCCAGAAGGGAUACACUGAAAGAAUGAUCAGAAAAGAAUAAUACA